rnacentral:rRNA from 1 species
AUUGAACGCUGGCGGCAGGCCUAACACAUGCAAGUCGAGCGGAGCGGCGGACGGGUGAGUAAUACCUAGGAAUCUGCCUGGUAGUGGGGGAUAACGACCGGAAACGGGCGCUAAUACCGCAUACUAUCAGAUGAGCCUAGGGCGGGUGAGCUAGUUGGUGGGGUAAAGGCCUACCAAGGCGACGAUCCGGAACUGGUCUUAGAGGAUGAUCAGUAAACCUGGAAUUGAGACACGGUCCAGACUCCUACGGGAGGCAGCAGUGGGGAAUAUUGGACAAGGGGGGCAAGCCUGAUCCAGCCAUGCCGCGUGUGUGAAGAAGUGCUUCGGAUUGUAAAGCACUUUAAGUUGGGAGGCGUUACCAACAGAAUAAGCACCGGCUAACUUCGUGCCAGCAGCCGCGGUAAUUC